CAGCAGCCGCGGUAAUACCGGCGGCCCGAGUGGCGGCCACUAUUAUUGGGCUUAAAGCGUCCGUAGCCGGGUUGGUUAGUCUCCCGGGAAAUCUGGCCGCUUAACGGUCAGAAUUCCGGGAGAUACUGCCAGCCUAGGGACCGGGAGAGGCCGAGGGUAUUCCCGGAGUAGGGGUGAAAUCCUAUAAUCCCGGGAGGACCACCUGUGGCGAAGGCGCUCGGCUGGAACGGGUCCGACGGUGAGGGAUGAAGGCCAGGGGAGCAAACCGGAUUAGAUACCCGGGUAGUCCUGGCUGUAAACGAUGCGGACUUUGUGUCGGACAAGCUAUGAGCUUGUCCGGUGCCGGAGGGAAACCGUUAAGUCCGCCGCCUGGGGAGUACGGCCGCAAGGCUGAAACUUAAAGGAAUUGGCGGG
rnacentral:rRNA from 1 species